rnacentral:sRNA from 1 species
UGGCAACACUGAAGACUGAAACGCUUUGUUUAUCCACAGAAUAAAUGCAGGGAAAUGAGCAUCUAUGCAAGCCUUCACAUUAUCAAUGUGCCUCUAAACUGACUAAUUUGCAGAGGCUCCAGGUAGUGGUGAGAGUGUGUAACAGUGUUCUUGGCUGAGGUAGCCAACAAAGGAUUAU